CCCUGGCCAAGAUGGGCAGAAGGAGAUUCCCUGCUCCCUAGGGCCAUUUUCUGCUUCCAUGUCCUAUUCAGCUGGCAGGCAUUGCCCCAAGCCCAGAAGUUGCUGAGGGACCUACUUAUUUUCCUUUCAGCCCCAGGGCUCAUCAGGAAGCACCAAACCCAUGUCACAAGAGUUCCUUCAGCAGGAAGCCCUUUCUGAAGACUUGCACAUCUUUUCCUGAUGCAUGGAGAAAGCUAAUAAUAUCUUACUGUAUCAUCCCUGAAGCCCACUAUGCUAGCUUGCAGGAGACCAGAGGUGACAAUGUCUCCCAGCCCUUGGGAGGAGCCCACCCAUCCCAUUUGUGCCAUCCAUGGAAAAUCUGCAGGCAGAGACAGCUUGCAGUUUUCUUUUAUGGUAUCACUGUUCAGAUGGGGUUUCCCUGCAAGUCCUGUUGAGCUUGAUUAGACUGGAGUAGAAGACUGGAGUAGAAGAAAUCAACUUCCCCAGCAAUCUGAAAACAGCAAGGCAUGUAAAAGAAUCCUCAGCUCUGCCCAGCUAUUUAAGGAGCAUUGAAAGACUUCAAAAAUAUUUCUGAGGCUUUUUCUCGCACUUUUUGG